rnacentral:rRNA from 1 species
UACAGAGGUCCCAAGCGUUAUUCGGAUUCACUGGGCGUAAAGGGUGCGUAGGUGGUGAGGUAAGUCGGAUGUGAAAGCUCGGAGCUCAACUCCGAAAUGGCAUUGGAAACUACCUUGCUCGAGGGUUGGAGGGGGGACUGGAAUACUUGGUGUAGCAGUAAAAUGCGUAGAUAUCAAGUGGAACACCAGUGGCGAAGGCGAGUCCCUGGACAACUCCUGACACUGAGGCACGAAAGCUAGGGGAGCAAACAGG